GACGAACGCUGGCGGCGUGCCUAAUACAUGCAAGUCGAACGCAGUGGGGACGGGUGAGGAACACGUGGGUAACCUCCCAUCUAAGGAGAUAACACUUGGAAACAAGUGCUAAAGCGAUACUGGUGGAUGAACCCGGGGUGCAUUAGCUAGUUGGUGGGGUAAUGGCUCACCAAGGCCACGAUGCAUAGCCGACCCGAGAGGGUGAUCGGCCACACUGGGACUGAGACACGGCCCAGACUCCUACGGGAGGCAGCAGUAGGGAAUCUUGGGCAAUGGACGAAAGUCUGACCCAGCAACGCCGCGUGAGUGAAGAAGGUUUUCGGAUCGUAAAACUCUGUUGUUAGAGAAGCGGUAUCUAACCAGAAAGCCACGGCUAACUACGUGCCAGCAGCCGCGGUAAUUC
rnacentral:rRNA from 1 species